rnacentral:lncRNA from 1 species
GAUUUGAAGUAAACUUUGUUAGCUGAGGAUAUGAAACCAGCACAAAUUGUGCCUUGAAUAACAACAAGGACUUCAGAAGCCCCAGGGUGUGUAUGCAUAGGUAUCACUCCACCAACAGAUAAAUCCAAACGAGCUAUUGAAAUGCCGAGUCCGUUAACACCCGGGAAUUGAGCCGAAAAGGCUGGUGUUACUGCAGCUUUUAUGAGGUUCGAAGUGUUGCCUGUGGCAGCGAGGCCGGAGUAAACGAAGUCAUUUACGGUGACUGUCUUCUUGCAAGAAUAGCCUGCAGGGCCUACAGGGCCAUUCAAGUCCCCAACACAGAAGUCGGCUGCGUUGGUGGAGGAAAAUAG